rnacentral:rRNA from 1 species
CCUACGGGAGGCAGCAGUGAGGAAUAUUGGUCAAUGGGCGCGAGCCUGAACCAGCCAAGCCGCGUGAAGGAAGACUGCUCUAUGGGUUGUAAACUUCUUUUAUACGGGCGUAAAACAGGGUAUGCAUACCUUCCUGUACGUAUCAUACGAAUAAGGAUCGGCUAACUCCGUGCCAGCAGCCGCGGUAAUACGGAGGAUUCAAGCGUUAUCCGGAUUUAUUGGGUUUAAAGGGAGCGUAGGUGGAUGGGUAAGUUAGUUGUGAAAUUUCGGGGCUCAACCGUAGAAUUGCAUUUGAAACUGGCAGUCUUGAGUGCAGUAGAGGUAGGCGGAAUGCGUGGUGUAGCGGUGAAAUGCUUAGAUAUCACGAAGAACACCGAUUGCGAAGGCAGCUCACUGGACUGCAACUGACGCUGAUGCGCGAAAGUGUGGGUAGCAAACAGGAUUAGAUACCCUUGUAGUC